GACGAACGCUGGCGGCGUGCUUAACACAUGCAAGUCGAACGAUGAAGCCGGAGCUUGCUCUGGUGAAUUAGUGGCGAACGGGUGAGUAACACGUGAGUAACCUGCCCUUGACUCUGGGAUAACUGCGGGAAACUGUAGCUAAUACCGGAUACGACCCUCGGAGGCAUCUCCUGGGGGUGGAAAGAAUUUCGGUCAAGGAUGGACUCGCGGCCUAUCAGCUAGUUGGUGAGGUAAAGGCUCACCAAGGCGACGACGGGUAGCCGGCCUGAGAGGGGGACCGGCCACACUGGGACUGAGACACGGCCCAGACUCCUACGGGAGGCAGCAGCGGGGAAUAUUGCACAAUGGGCGCAAGCCUGAUGCAGCAACGCCGCGUGAGGGAUGACGGCCUUCGGGUUGUAAACCUCUUUUAGCAGGGAAGAAGCGAAAGUGACGGUACCUGCAGAAAAAGCACCGGCUAACUACGUGCCAGCAGCCGCUGUAA
rnacentral:rRNA from 1 species